rnacentral:rRNA from 1 species
CCUACGGGAGGCAGCAGUGGGGAAUCUUGCGCAAUGGGCGGAAGCCUGACCCAGCAACGCCGCGUGGGUGAUGAAGGCCCUCGGGUCGUAAAGCCCUUUUCCCAGGGAAGAUGGUGACGGUACCUGGGGAAUCAGCCCCGGCUAACUACGUGCCAGCAGCCGCGGUAAU